rnacentral:SRP_RNA from 1 species
ACCGGGCACGGUGAUGUGUGCCUGUAGUCCCAGCUACUCAGGAGGCUGAGGCUGGAGGAUCACUUGAGUCCAGGAGUUCUGGGCUGUAGUGUGCUAUGCUGAUCGGGUGUCUGCACUAAGUUUGGCAUCAAUAUGGUGACCUCCCAGGAGUGGGGGACCACCAGGUUGCAUAAGGAGAGGUGAACCGGCCCAGGUCAGAAACAGAGCAGGUCAAAACUCCCAUGCUGAUCAGUAGUGAAUAACCACUGCACUCCAGCCUGGGCAAUAUAGCGAGACCCANNNNNN